UUACGGCCACAUCACGUUGGAACACCGGUUCCCAUACGACCACCGAAAUUAAGCAACGUCGAGCCCGGUUAGUACCUAGAUGAAUGACCACUUGGAAAUACCAG